rnacentral:lncRNA from 1 species
CCUUCUAUUUAUAAUAAUAUUAUUCUAGCUUUCAUUAUAUCUUUAUUAAAGAUACUAGUUUACCAAUUCCACCUAAUAUCUUCACUACUACGUCUAAAAGGCAUAAUAUUAUAAAUGUUUAUCAUGGGACUCUCAUCAUCUUAAAUUUACACUUCACCCGAGCCACCAAGAUAAUAAUCAUUCCUCCAGUCUUCACAGCCUGUGAAGCUGCUGCAGGCCUAGCACUACUAGUAAUGGUGUCUAAUACUUAUGGUCUAGAUUAGAUAUGGAAUUUAUUUAU